rnacentral:tRNA from 1 species
GUCUUUGUAGUAUACUUAAUACUUUGGUCUUGUAAACCAAAAAUGGAGAUUAAUUGCCCUCCCUAAGAC